rnacentral:rRNA from 1 species
UACGGAGGGAGCAAGCGUUACUCGGAAUUAUUGGGCGUAAAGGGCGCGUAGGCGAUUUGAAAAGUCUUGUGUGAAAGCCCCGAGCUUAACUCGGGAAGUGCACAAGAAACUGUUGAAUUUGAGUUCCGGAGAGGAAGGCAGAAUUCCCGGUGUAGCGGUGAAAUGCGUAGAUAUCGGGAGGAAUACCAGUGGCGAAGGCGGCCUUCUGGACGGAUACUGACGCUGAGGCGCGAAAGCCAGGGGA